rnacentral:rRNA from 1 species
AUACGGAGGGUGCAAGCGUUAAUCGGAAUUACUGGGCGUAAAGCGUACGUAGGCGGUUCGUUAAGUUAGAUGUGAAAGCCCCGGGCUUAACCUGGGAACUGCAUUUAAAACUGGCGGACUAGAGUUAAGUAGAGGGGAGUGGAAUUUCAGGUGUAGCGGUGAAAUGCGUAGAGAUCUGAAGGAACACCAGUGGCGAAGGCGACUCCCUGGACUUGAACUGACGCUGAGGUACGAAAGCGUGGGUAGCAAACGGGAUUAGAAACCCCAGUAGUCC